rnacentral:rRNA from 1 species
AUUGAACGCUGGCGGCAGGCUUAACACAUGCAAGUCGAGCGAGCGGCGGACGGGUGAGUAAUGUCUGGGAAACUGCCUGAUGGAGGGGGAUAACUACUGGAAACGGUAGCUAAUACCGCAUACCAUCAGAUGUGCACAGAUGGGAUUAGCUAGUAGGUGGGGUAAUGGCUCAACUAGGCGACGAUCCCUAGCUGGUCUGAGAGGAUGACCUGCCACACGGGAACGGAGGCACGGUCCAGACUCCGACGGGAGGCAGCAGAGGGGUAUAGUGCACAAUGUGGGCAAGCCUGAUGCAGCCAUGCCGCGUGUGUGAAGAAGGCCUUCGGGUUGUAAAGCACGUUCAGCGAGAAGGCGUUACUCGCAGAAGAAGCACCGGCUAACUCCGUGCCAGCAGCCGCGGUAAUAC